GUCCGCGUAGCUCAGUUGGAAGAGCAUUGGGCUAGUAUUCCAAAGGUCGUAGGUUCGAAUCCCACCGUGGCCG